UUCCAAUUGAAAGGAAAGUAUCAAACUUGGAAGAAUUUAAAACAAAGGUGCUGGAUGUUUAACGUCUCCGCAUGUUCCAACCCCAGAGAGAAGCCAUCCUUUCCUGUUAUUCAUAUCACAUAAAGAUUUCAUUUCAAAGGUGGUUCCCACCUUUCCCUUUGUGAACCAAGUCCUGCCCUCUGAAAAAGUCUUCGAAGCUAACAAAAGCAGUUCUGAGAUGAAGAAAGCAGGGAGUGCACCAUUGGAUCAAGUUGUGAGGUUUUUU